rnacentral:rRNA from 1 species
GACAGAGGGUGCAAACGUUGUUCGGAAUUACUGGGCGUAAAGCGUGUGUAGGCGGUCCGCUAAGUCGGGUGUGAAAGCCCUGGGCUCAACCCAGGAAGUGCACUCGAAACUGGCGGGCUAGAGUAUCGGAGAGGUUGGUGGAAUUCUCGGUGUAGAGGUGAAAUUCGUAGAUAUUCGGAAGAACACCAGUGGCGAAGGCGACUUACUGGACACAUAUUGACGCUGAGGUGCGAAAGCGUGGGGAGCAAACAGG